AAGCUCGUAGUUGAAUUUCGUGAUCAAUAUGUCGGUCAUGCCUUCGGUACGUACUGGUAUCAUUGGUUUCUCCUUUCUGACGAACCAUGAUGUCAUUAAUUUGGUGUUAUGGGGAGUUAGGACUGUUACUUUGAAAAAAUUAGAGUGUUUAAAGCAGGCUUUAGCUUGAAUACAUUAGCAUGGAAUAAUGAAAUAGGACGUUCGAACCUAUUUUGUUGGUUUCUAGGAUCAACGUAAUGAUUAAUAGGGAUAGUUGGG
rnacentral:rRNA from 1 species